rnacentral:lncRNA from 1 species
CAGUGUGAGAAAUCUGAUCAUCACCUCAUGUUGGGAAACAAACAACUACUCCGGAAGCCUCCCCUAAUUUCCCGAGAAUCUUGAUUUGCCUAAGGAUACUCUGAGGCGUAACUGAGGGUUCUGAGAUGAAGAGGCCACUCUGAAGUCCAGUGACACGUGUCCUGAAAAAGGACACACAGAAGAAAGGGAGGCACAAAGCCAGAAUUGAACACCACACUCCAGAGUGCUGACGGCGAGCUGAAGCGUCAGGGAAGGAUCUUCGGCAGAACCUCCAGGGGGCGCUGUCCUGCAAACACGGAAGCCUGCUGGCCCCCAGCGCUGUGAGAGAACACACUUGUGCUGUUGUCUGCGGAGGUAGGAACUGGACUAAAGUUCCCAGGCAUCUCCAGUCUGGUGCAGAUUUGGACCUGGUUUGUAUCCAGCUGGUGGCAAAAGCCACCAGAUGCUGCUGGGCUGUUGUAUUGGAGGCUUUCAGCUGUACAUAAUGGAAAUAGCGUGGAGGUAAAGCAGUUCCAGGGUUGGUUAAUUUGCUAUCAAACAUCUUUAAGGGCUCACACUUGUUCCAUCUUCCUGUUCAGCCAACUUAACAGGUUGGCCACUGGCUAUUCCUUAACCGAUUGUGUAAUGGCUGUUGGAAGUCCAAGCUUUCCCAUCUCCCAGGACAGAACAUUCCUUCCUCACAUCUCUUGGCCUCCAGUGGACCUCUUGUGAUUGGCCAGGAUUGUAGCACACACCUGUUCUUAAGUCCAUCACCAUUCCUAAGAAAUCACCAUGUUUGGCUUAGGCAAACUAAGACUUGCCUUACAAGGUUCUUCUUGGAGGCCAUGGUUUCCUCAUGUCUGCCAGCAGUGGGUGCAAGGUGUAGGAACAGAGGGUUAGGGUUGACUAAGCUACCAACAGUUCCCACCUGGACCUAUGUGGACACAACCUUGAAAGGUCUGGCUGAGCCCAGUUUCAAUCUACAAUAAGACGGUCAAAGGAAUAUCCAG